rnacentral:tRNA from 1 species
GUGAAACUAGUUUAAAAGAAAAAACACUUGAUUUGCAAUCAAUAACUCUAAGUUUAAGCCUUAGGUUCCACA